UAGUGCAAUGGCAUAAGCCAGCUUGACUGCGAGCGUGACGGCGCGAGCAGGUGCGAAAGCAGGUCAUAGUGAUCCGGUGGUUCUGAAUGGAAGGGCCAUCGCUCAACGGAUAAAAGGUACUCCGGGGAUAACAGGCUGAUACCGCCCAAGAGUUCAUAUCGACGGCGGUGUUUGGCACCUCGAUGUCGGCUCAUCACAUCCUGGGGCUGAAGUAGGUCCCAAGGGUAUGGCUGUUCGCCAUUUAAAGUGGUACGCGAGCUGGGUUUAGAACGUCGUGAGACAGUUCGGUCCCUAUCUGCCGUGGGCGCUGGAGAACUGAGGGGGGCUGCUCCUAGUACGAGAGGACCGGAGUGGACGCAUCACUGGUGUUCGGGUUGUCAUGCCAAUGGCACUGCCCGGUAGCUAAAUGCGGAAGAGAUAAGUGCUGAAAGCAUCUAAGCACGAAACUUGCCCCGAGAUGAGUUCUCCCUGACUCCUUGAGAGUCCUGAAGGAACGUUGAAGACGACGACGUUGAUAGGCCGGGUGUGUAAGCGCAGCGAUGCGUUGAGCUAACCGGUACUAAUGAACCGUGAGG
rnacentral:rRNA from 1 species